rnacentral:rRNA from 1 species
GGAUUAGAUACCCUGGUAGUCCUAGCUGUAAACGAUGGAUACUAGACGUAGGAACUGGAUUGACGGUUUCUGUGUCGCAGCUAACGCGUUAAGUAUCCCGCCUGGGGAGUACGGUCGCAAGACUAAAACUCAAAGGAAUUGACGGGACCCCGCACAAGCGGCGGAGCAUGCGGCUUAAUUCGAUGAUACCCGUAGAACCUUACCUGGACUUGACAUAUAGGGUCUAGCUAUAGAGAUAUAGUGUCCUUCGGGGCCCUACACAGGUGGUGCAUGGCUGUCGUCAGCUCGUGCCG